rnacentral:lncRNA from 1 species
GACCCAAAUAUGAGUGGCUUUAGAUAUUUUACCCCAAUAAGAAAUGUCUUUGAAGAAUAACCUUCCUUACUUUUUAAUAUAGUACAAGUACCAUUUUGCCCCUCUACACUUCAAAUAUAUUUUUAAACUUUUCAUACUUAUUGGUCUCACAAAUUUUAUUUUUUAUUAUUUUCACUUUUUUAUUUUUUUCUUUACUUUUAUUAUUCUACUUUUUUUCCACUUUUUAUUUUUUU